UACGUAGGGUCCGAGCGUUGUCCGGAAUUACUGGGCGUAAAGAGCUCGUAGGUGGUUUGUUGCGUUGUUCGUGAAAACUCACAGCUCAACUGUGGGCGUGCGGGCGAUACGGGCAGACUGGAGUACUGCAGGGGAGACUGGAAUUCCUGGUGUAGCGGUGGAAUGCGCAGAUAUCAGGAGGAACACCGAUGGCGAAGGCAGGUCUCUGGGCAUUAACUGACGCUGAGGAGCGAAAGCAUGGGGAGCGAACAGG
rnacentral:rRNA from 1 species